GACGAACGCUGGCGGCGGGCUUAACACAUGCAAGUCGAACGGUUAAGCGCCUUCCUUUUUGGUGGUUGUGGAUGAGUGGCGAACGGGUGAGUAACACGUUACUAACCUGCCCCCUUCUUCUUGCGAACCGCAUGAAAGUUUGGCUAAUACUGGAUAUUCUGGGUCUGGCGCAUGAUGGGUCUGGGCGAGAUCUUGUUUCGGUGGGUGAUGUGCUCGCGUCCUAGCAGCUUGGUGGUGGGGUGAUGGCCUACCAUGGCGGGUCCGGGUAGCCGGCCUGAGAGGGUGGACGGUAACACUGGGAAUGAGACACGGAGCAGACUCCUACGGGAGGCAGCAGUGAAGAAUAUUGCACAAUGGGAGCAAGCCUGAUGCAGUGACGCCGCGUGAGGGAUGGAGGCCUUAGUGUUGUGAACCUCUUUCGCGAGUGAAGCAGGCCUGCCUAGUUUGUGGGUGGGUUGACGGUAGCUGGAUAAGAAGCGCCGGUUAACUACGUG
rnacentral:rRNA from 1 species